ACGCGUGGAACCUUACCAGGUCUUGACAUCCUCUGACACUCCUAGAGAUAGGACGUUCCCCUUCGGGGGACAGAGUGACAGGUGGUGCAUGGUUGUCGUCAGCUCGUGUCGUGAGAUGUUGGGUUAAGUCCCGCAACGAGCGCAACCCUUGAUCUUAGUUGCCAGCAUUCAGUUGGGCACUCUAAGGUGACUGCCGGUGACAAACCGGAGGAAGGUGGGGAUGACGUCAAAUCAUCAUGCCCCUUAUGACCUGGGCUACACACGUGCUACAAUGGAUGGUACAAAGGGCUGCAAGACUGCGAAGUCAAGCGAAUCCCAUAAAACCAUUCUCAGUUCGGAUUGCAGGCUGCAACUCGCCUGCAUGAAGCCGGAAUCGCUAGUAAUCGCGGAUCAGCAUGCCGCGGUGAAUACGUUCCCGGGCCUUGCACACACCGCCCGU
rnacentral:rRNA from 1 species